rnacentral:rRNA from 1 species
UACGUAGGCAGCGAGCGUUGUUCGGAGUUACUGGGCGUAAAGGGCGCGUAGGCGGCCCUGCUAAGUCGAACGUGAAAUCCCCGGGCUCAACCCAGGAACUGCGUCCGAUACUGGAAGGCUUGAAUCCGGGAGAGGGAUGCGGAAUUCCAGGUGUAGCGGUGAAAUGCGUAGAUAUCUGGAGGAACACCGGUGGCGAAGGCGGCAUCCUGGACCGGUAUGACGCUGAGGCGCGAAAGCCAGGGGGAGCAAACGGG